GAGAGAGAGAGAGAGAGAGAGAGAGAGAGAGAGAGAGAGAGAGAGAGAGAGAGAGAGGUCAUGUGACAUUACCUUCGCGCGUGACGUCUCGCCCAAGUUUGGAGCACACGUGGGCACCGGAAAAACACAAACGACAAACAUUGUUUAUCAUCUAAAUGCCCGAGUCUGCUUUGACAGUUUUGAAAACCGACACAAUUUCAGUGACAAAAGGUGACCAUGUCUGGUGUUAAUCGUCCUGGACUGACCCACUGUAAGGUUGUCCUGGUGUUUGCAGUCCUCAUGGAUCUAUUCGGUGUGUCUGCCCUCCUGAUCGGAGUCUUCGUCCCACUUGAGAUCCGUGGUCUUGACUUCGGUGACCUGAUGCUGUACUCUGGAGCUCUGUUGCUGCUGCUGUCUAUGGGCGGCUGGAUCAUGUGGUACAGCGGUAAUAUUGAGGGUUUCAUUUCAGAAAAGGAGCUGACACACAAACACAAUGCCGUGGAGCGGUUCGCUCGCACCCUCAGUCGCCGCAUAAGGAUGCCCCACCGCGGCCACCGAACACCCUGACCUCUGACCUCUGGGCAGUCAAGGACACAGAGCACACACAUACACACAGGGAUUGGGCUAACAUCUCAGUUGGAAGGGAAAGAGAAAAAUGGCUGAUGUGGUGUUUGCACUUAGAACAACUGCAAUUGCAGUUAUUUGGCAGUACCAGUAUUAUAGUGAAUUACACAUUUUGGGAGCUGUAUUACAGGUUGGGAAAAAAGGGCUGUUCCUCCAUGCUUUUGUACUAUUUUGGACAUAUACUGUUUAUAUUAUAACGGUUUGUAGUGUAUUUCUAUUUCCUCUGUAUUUUGUAUUAGAACUUUUUAUUUUUUUUACUGUCAUCAGUUUGGUCUGAAAAACAUGGGUGCAUUUUUUUUUUCUCUUUAAGUUUCAUACAAAUACAACAUGUGGCUUUGGUACUUUAUUUUACCAAUACUGAAACACUUGACCAAAACUAAAUACAAUUUAAUUAUACAGUCAUAUUGUUCCACAAUAUGAACCACAUAGGAUUUUCCAGUUAAGAGAGCACUUUGUCACCUCCUCUCUCUCAUUAAAUAGGUACAGACUCAAGUUCCCUCAUUCACUCAAAUACUGCUAAAUGUACUGCAAACGUAAUAACCAAAUCUGCGUAAUAAAUCCCUCCAUUAAAUUUUCUACAACAAAUAAGUUAGGAAACAACAGCCCAUAAUAAAAUAAUAAAAGCCACAACCACCAGUUGUUCUCAAACAUAAAAAUAAAACAAGUGAAAACAGUAUUUUGAUUAGUUUUAAGUACAUGCACUAUAGAUUUCAAGGACAGUGAUAUAAUUUAGGUAGUGUGUCAAUCUCGGUCAGUUUCCUCUUUGUAUGUCAUUAAAUCCAUUUGGUUUGUUACACCUUGUGCUACAGAUCAACUGGAAAACAUGACAACAUAGCACCCAACAAAAAGGCACAAAAAGCUAUGGUUUUAAACUUUGUUUUUUUGUGGUGAAAAUACUGACAGUCAGUUUAAAUAAAUCACUUUCCAUCAUUUACAAGAACUAUAAAGGAAAAUGAACACAGUAAACAAUCCUAGCCAACAGUUCUGCAUCAUCUUCACAACCCGUCUUUGUUCCAGUUCUUAGGAUAAUUGUGUAUAACAAAAUAACCAAUAAAAAUAAAAACACUGGCCAACUACAUUGCAACAUUUGGAGCAUACUGGAGAGAAGCCAGUUGAAAAGUGAUAGGAAUUAAAAAAAACAAAAAAAAAAAA